rnacentral:rRNA from 1 species
UGGUGCCAGCAGCCGCGGUAAUUCCAGCUCCAAUAGCGUAUAUUAAAGUUGUUGCAGUUAAAAAGCUCGUAGUUGAAUUUCGGGGUUAGUAAGUUGGUCAUGCCUCUGGUAUGCACUGGCUUUACUGAUUCCUCCUUCUUGAUGAACUGUAAUGUCAUUAAUUUGGUGUUGCAGGGAAUCAGGACUGUUACUUUGAAAAAAUUAGAGUGUUUAAAGCAGGCAUACGCUUGAAUACAUUAGCAUGGAAUAAUGAAAUAGGACGUUUGAUCCUAUUUUGUUGGUUUCUAGGAUUGACGUAAUGAUUAAUAGGGAUAGUUGGGGGCAUUAGUAUUCGAUUGUCAGAGGUGAAAUUCUUGGAUUUAUUGAAGACUAACUACUGCGAAAGCAUUUGCCAAGGAUGUUUUCAUUAAUCAAGAACGAAAGUUAGGGGAUCGAAGACGAUCAGAUACCGUCGUAGUCUUAACCAUAAACUAUGCCGACUAGGGA